rnacentral:lncRNA from 1 species
CGCGCGAGCGGCGCCAGCUCGGGGCAGCGGAACCCAGAGAAGCUGAGGGGGCGGUAGCGGCGGCGACGGCGACGACGACGACUCCCGCGCGUGUGCCCAGCCUCUUCCCGCCGCAGCCGCCCUUUUCCUCCCUCCCUUACGUCCCCGAGUGCGGCAGUACCGCCUCCUUCCCAGCCGCGCGGCUUCCUCCAGACCUCUCGGCGCGGGAACACAGCCAGGACACAGACGCGGAUGAUGGGGCCUUGCAGUAAGCAGCUCUUGGGACCCAACCACCAUGCUGUGAAGCAGCCCAGGCCACACAGAGAGGCCACGUGUACAUGUUCAGCUGACAGCAGUAUCAAAUGUCAGACAUGAGAGAGGAAGGCUUCAAGAUGACUCCAGCCCAGCCACCGUCUGAGAACAAAGUAAGAACUGCCUCACUGAUGCCAUUCAAAGCCCAGCACCAUGAGAGAUAAUAAAACGUU